GGGUUGUGAGGUUAAGCGAACAAGCGUACACGGUGGAUGCCCUGGCAGUCAGAGGCGAUGAAGGACGUGCUAAUCUGCGAAAAGCGCCGGUAAGGUGAUAUGAACCGUUAUAACCGGCGAUGUCCGAAUGGGGAAACCCGGUGCACUUCGGUGCAUCAUCGUUAGCUGAAUACAUAGGCUAACGAAGCGAACCGGGGGAACUGAAACAUCUAAGUACCCCGAGGAAAAGAAAUCAACCGAGAUUCCCCCAGUAGCGGCGAGCGAACGGGGAACAGCCCAGAGCCUGAAUCAGCUUGUGUGUCAGUGGAACGGUCUGGAAAGGCCGGCGAUACAGGGUGACAGCCCCGUACACGAAGGCACACAGGCUGUGAGCUCGAUGAGUAGGGCGGGACACGUGAUAUCCUGUCUGAAGAUGGGGGGACCAUCCUCCAAGGCUAAAUACUCCUGACUGACCGAUAGUGAACCAGUACCGUGAGGGAAAGGCGAAAAGAACCCCGGCGAGGGGAGUGAAACAGAACCUGAAACCGUGUACGUACAAGCAGUGGGAGCCUUCGUAAGAGGGUGACUGCGUACCUUUUGUAUAAUGGGUCAGCGACUUAUAUUCUGUAGCAAGGUUAACCGUAUAGGGGAGCCGAAGGGAAACCGAGUCUUAACCGGGCGUUAAGUUGCAGGGUAUAGACCCGAAACCCGGUGAUCUAGCCAUGGGCAGGUUGAAGGUUGGGUAACACUAACUGGAGGACCGAACCGACUAAUGUUGAAAAAUUAGCGGAUGACCUGUGGCUGGGGGUGAAAGGCCAAUCAAACCGGGAGAUAGCUGGUUCUCCCCGAAAGCUAUUUAGGUAGCGCCUCGUGAACUCAUCUCCGGGGGUAGAGCACUGUUUCGGCUAGGGGGCCAUCCCGGCUUACCAACCCGAUGCAAACUGCGAAUACCGGAGAAUGUUAUCACGGGAGACACACGGCGGGUGCUAACGUCCGUCGUGAAGAGGGAAACAACCCAGACCGCCAGCUAAGGUCCCAAAGUCAUGGUUAAGUGGGAAACGAUGUGGGAAGGCCCAGACAGCCAGGAUGUUGGCUUAGAAGCAGCCAUCAUUUAAAGAAAGCGUAAUAGCUCACUGGUCGAGUCGGCCUGCGCGGAAGAUGUAACGGGGCUAAACCAUGCACCGAAGCUGCGGCAGCGACACGUAUGUGUUGUUGGGUAGGGGAGCGUUCUGUAAGCCUGUGAAGGUGUGCUGUGAGGCAUGCUGGAGGUAUCAGAAGUGCGAAUGCUGACAUAAGUAACGAUAAAGCGGGUGAAAAGCCCGCUCGCCGGAAGACCAAGGGUUCCUGUCCAACGUUAAUCGGGGCAGGGUGAGUCGACCCCUAAGGCGAGGCCGAAAGGCGUAGUCGAUGGGAAACAGGUUAAUAUUCCUGUACUUGGUGUUACUGCGAAGGGGGGACGGAGAAGGCUAUGUCGGCCGGGCGACGGUUGUCCCGGUUUAAGCGUGUAGGCUGACUUUCCAGGCAAAUCCGGAAAGUUAAGGCUGAGGCGUGAUGACGAGGCACCACGGUGCUGAAGUGACAAAUGCCCUGCUUCCAGGAAAAGCCUCUAAGCAUCAGGUAACAUCAAAUCGUACCCCAAACCGACACAGGUGGUCAGGUAGAGAAUACCAAGGCGCUUGAGAGAACUCGGGUGAAGGAACUAGGCAAAAUGGUGCCGUAACUUCGGGAGAAGGCACGCUGACAUGUAGGUGAAGCCCCUGCGGGUGGAGCUGAAGUCAGUCGAAGAUACCAGCUGGCUGCAACUGUUUAUUAAAAACACAGCACUGUGCAAACACGAAAGUGGACGUAUACGGUGUGACGCCUGCCCGGUGCCGGAAGGUUAAUUGAUGGGGUUAUCGCAAGAGAAGCUCCUGAUCGAAGCCCCGGUAAACGGCGGCCGUAACUAUAACGGUCCUAAGGUAGCGAAAUUCCUUGUCGGGUAAGUUCCGACCUGCACGAAUGGCGUAAUGAUGGCCAGGCUGUCUCCACCCGAGACUCAGUGAAAUUGAACUCGCUGUGAAGAUGCAGUGUACCCGCGGCAAGACGGAAAGACCCCGUGAACCUUUACUACAGCUUGACACUGAACAUUGAGCCUUGAUGUGUAGGAUAGGUGGGAGGCUUUGAAGCGUGGACGCCAGUCUGCGUGGAGCCGACCUUGAAAUACCACCCUUUAAUGUUUGAUGUUCUAACCUGGCGCCGUGAUCCGGCGUGGGGACAGUGUCUGGUGGGUAGUUUGACUGGGGCGGUCUCCUCCCAAAGUGUAACGGAGGAGCACGAAGGUCAGCUAAUCCUGGUCGGACAUCAGGAGGUUAGUGCAAUGGCAUAAGCUGGCUUGACUGCGAGAGUGACGGCUCGAGCAGGUGCGAAAGCAGGUCAUAGUGAUCCGGUGGUUCUGUAUGGAAGGGCCAUCGCUCAACGGAUAAAAGGUACUCCGGGGAUAACAGGCUGAUACCGCCCAAGAGUUCAUAUCGACGGCGGUGUUUGGCACCUCGAUGUCGGCUCAUCACAUCCUGGGGCUGAAGUAGGUCCCAAGGGUAUGGCUGUUCGCCAUUUAAAGUGGUACGCGAGCUGGGUUUAGAACGUCGUGAGACAGUUCGGUCCCUAUCUGCCGUGGGCGCUGGAGAAUUGAGGGGGGCUGCUCCCAGUACGAGAGGACCGGAGUGGACGCAUCACUGGUGUUCGGGUUGUCAUGCCAAUGGCACUGCCCGGUAGCUAAAUGCGGAAGAGAUAAGUGCUGAAAGCAUCUAAGCACGAAACUUGCCCCGAGAUGAGUUCUCCCUGAGACUGUAAGUCUCCUGAAGGAACGUUGAAGACGACGACGUUGAUAGGCCGGGUGUGUAAGCGCAGCGAUGCGUUGAGCUAACCGGUACUAAUGAACCGUGAGGCUUAACCUUACAACGCCAAAGAAGU
rnacentral:rRNA from 1 species